AUUGAACGCUGGCGGCAGGCUUAACACAUGCCAGUCGAGCGGAGAUGAGGUGCUUGCACCUUAUCUUAGCGGCGGACGGGUGAGUAAUGCUUAGGAAUCUGCCAUUUAGUGGGGGACAACAUUCCGAAAGGAAUGCUAAUACCGCAUACGUCCUACGGGAGAAAGCAGGGGAUCUUCGGACCUUGCGCUAAAUGAUGAGCCUAAGUCGGAUUAGCUAGUUGGUGGGGUAAAGGCCUACCAAGGCGACGAUCUGUAGCGGGUCUGAGAGGAUGAUCCGCCACACUGGGACUGAGACACGGCCCAGACUCCUACGGGAGGCAGCAGUGGGGAAUAUUGGACAAUGGGGGGAACCCUGAUCCAGCCAUGCCGCGUGUGUGAAGAAGGCCUUAUGGUUGUAAAGCACUUUAAGCGAGGAGGAGGCUACUGAGACUAAUACUCUUGGAUAGUGGACGUUACUCGCAGAAUAAGCACCGGCUAACUCUGUG
rnacentral:rRNA from 1 species